rnacentral:lncRNA from 1 species
UAAUAACCGGAAUCACCCAAGGUUCCAUUGAUCUUUUUUUCUUUUCCCUUCUAAUGUGUUGAUAACGAUGAACUCCUUUUAUAGGUUAUACGGUUGUCGUACGUUAGAUUGAAUAUCAUACUUUUCAAACCCCUAAAAGAAGAAGAAAAGAAAAGUCAUAAACCGCGUUUGGGUAUAUCGAAAUUGAAUGAAGCAAUUAUUAGGGUAUAGAUUAGUAACUACGAAACCAUAUGUUUAAAGGUAAAAGUCAAACAUACAUAAAUAUUUUAAUUGGUUACAUCGGGCUAGGCAAUGGGCGGAGCUUUGACUGUUUCUGCCGGAGUAACGCGGGGUUUGACGCUGUAUUACAAUUCGGGUUUCCAGUGUAAAGGGUAAUAUGAUGUGUUGAAUUGUGAUGGUGGAAUAAGUUUUAUUUUUGUUUUCGAUAAUUGAAAUUUGUAUUCAGCGGAAAUGCCCAUUACAAAAUGAGGACCAAAAACAGUUUAUAACUAUGACAUUAUAUCUAUUAAACAUAAUGCAAUAGUUAUCUUGUUUAUUAUAUUUAUAAGUGUUAAAAGUAACAUGUUUUAAUCUCAUUCUUAACGCGUUUUGAGUGAUUAUCUGAUGUUAAUUGCGAAUUUUAUACUCAUAAUCCUUUAAAUUCAUGUUUCAAUGCUUAAUAGAGCACUUGGGAGUGAAAAUCGGAGCGUCAGAGCAAAGUUGAAGGAGCCAUACAGGAUACACCUUUUCACACUACCGUGUGAUAUGCCGUGUCAAUUUCACAAGAUUGUGCACUGAACAGCAGAAAAUCACGAUUUUUAGGUUUUCUUUGGCAUUCUAAGACAUAUAUAUAACAAAGAUAAGAAAAUAUGAGAGAGCCGUUAAAGAAUACUAAAGAAAACAACUCAAAAAACAGCAUUGAAGCCGAUUUUG